GAUGAACGCUGGCGGCGUGCCUAAUACAUGCAAGUCGAGCGAACGGACGAUGCUCUUGCGUUUCUGAUGUUAGCGGCAGACGGGUGAGUAACACGUGGAUAACCUACCUAUAUGACUGGUAUAACUUCGAGAAACCGGAGCUAAUCCCGGAUAAUAUUUUGAACCGCAUGGUUCAAAGGUGAAAGACGGUCUUGCUGUCACUUAUAGAUGCAUCCGCGCUGUAUUAGCUAGUUGGUAAGGUAACGGCUUACCACGGCAACGAUGCAUAGCCGACGUGAGAGGGGGAUAGGCGGCCCGGGAGCUGGGCCAGGGACCAGGCUACUGCGGGAGGGAGCAGUAGGGAAUCGUACGCAACAGGCGAGAACCUGACGGAGCGACGGGGCGUGAGUUACGGAGGUGCUGGGAUCGUGAAGCUCUGCUAUGAGGGGAGAACAGAUGUGUACGGAGCUGUGCACAGCGUGACGGUAACGAAUCAAAAAGCCCCGGCUAACUACGUG
rnacentral:rRNA from 1 species